GACGAACGCUGGCGGCGUGCCUAAUACAUGCAAGUAGAACGCAGUUGCGAACGGGUGAGUAACGCGUCGGUAACUGCCCCAUAGCGGGGGAUAACUAUUUGAAACGAUAGCUAAUACCGCCUACUGUGAGAUGGACCUGCGUUGUAUUAGCUAGUUGGUGAGGUAAAGGCCCACCAAGGCGACGAUACAUAGCCGACCUGAGAAGGUGAUCGGCCACACGGGGACUGGGGCACGGCCCAGACUUCCACGGGAGGCAGCAAGAGGGAAUCUUCGGCAAUGGGGGGAAAUCUGACCGAGCAACGGCGGGGGAGUGAAGAAGGUUUUCGGAGCGGAAAGCUCUGUUGUGAGGGAAGCGGUAACUAACGAGAAAGGAACGGCUAACUACGUGCCAGCAGCCGCGGUAAUAC
rnacentral:rRNA from 1 species